GCCCUGACUGGGAAUCAAACCAGUGACUCUUUGGUUCACAAGCUGGUGCUCAAUCCACUGAGCUACACCAGCCAGGGUCAUUGCAAUUGUUUCUUUAUACCUAAUUUCCUAUGUCUCUCUAUUUCUUCUUCUUAAAGUAAUUUCUUUAAUAUUUUUUGCAAUUCUGAUUUGGUGGUAGUGAACUUUUUUAGCCUUAUCUUCAACUGUAAAAUGUGAUGGAAGUGAUAACGGUCAAGUUACUGAAACAGAUGGCUUACAAUCUAGUGGCUGUAGUUACAUGGUUGUUAAAGUGUCCUAUAUUUACCAGAGAAUAAGAUCCUUUCAGGCAUGUGAAAUCCACAAAAAGUCUUUAAAAUCUCAGUACACCUGGUUCCCCUUACCCAUCACCUCCCAAAUUGAACACAGUGGUAGAUACUCAGGAAACACCAGAGGACACAAGCUAUCCUAUCAGUCUCAUAAGGCAUGAGAAGCCAGGCAAAGGGUGGAGAGGAUCGUUGGGUAUAAUAAUGGAGGCAUCUCAAGUUGGGACUUCUGUAUAAAGAUGAUGGGCCAAUAACUCUAUUUUCAACAUAUUAAGCACUUUGGAAGUAAAACAGGGAAGUGGCAAAGGAAUAAUUAUUUUCAAAGCACUGCUAUUAACUAUAGUGCCUGCUGGACAGGGCUGGGUAAUUACUAGAGGUCCAAUCUUUAUCCCUGACUUUGGUGGGGGGCACUUGAUAGGUCACAAAAACCUGUGUUUCCUGAUUCCUGCUGGAUAUAUGCCCUUCCCUCCAUGCUGCCCCAACACCUCCUGUGCUGUUCCCUAUCAGCCUGACAUCACAUCCCCAUACCACAGGAAACUACGCCAUCCCUACUGCUUUGGUGGCUUAAAUGACAGUCUGAAGUUGUCCAUCUCCCAGCACUUGAACUCACCCAGAGCAUGCACAAUCAUUGUCCCCCAAAAUACAUAGAACCAGGACUGGCAUUAAGGGGACAGAGGUGGGAUUGGGCCUUGCCAAGGAGAUUAGGUGAUGUGAAGAUGGCUGCUGUGAUCACAUUUCUUCUUGGACUGCUGCUUGAUUUCUUCAAAGUACUAUUCAGCCUUUUCUUCUUUUAAACAUAUUCCAUAUGGACCCUCCAUUCCUUCCCCUCUUCCCCUGUUCCCCUAAACCCUCAGGUCCUCACUCCUAUGUAUUCUCCCUACCCAAUAACUCUCAAAUAGAAUUCCUAAUAGCAUCAAGCUGUAUGACAGAAAAUGUUGACCAGCUGUUUACUACCCCAGGCAAUCAUCUGUUCAGCUCUAAUACUCUAUUGAGUAUGAACUUGUAUUCCUUUCCUCAGACUUCAGAUACUUUUACCUUGAGGCUCAGGAGGGGCAACCCAGGACAGCUCUGGUGAUAGCAGUGACCCCAAAGGAGUUGGAACAAUUACAACCAUCUUCUGAGAUGCAUCAGCUUUCUGAAACAGCAACAGGUUGUGGACGAUGGGAAAGCCUAAUAAUGUCAAAUGAGCCCUUGUCCUACCACCGUGCUUCUUGGACCUGAAGGCACCUUCCAGAUUCUUCCUAAAGUUAUCUUAUGGUUUGGUCAUUAGGCAUGCAGCAGCAGGAUAAAUGUAAGUGAUUCUAAUUCCUGGUAUUUGUCAUUCCUCAGGGGCCAGGGUGAAACAAUGUGACUUCCUGGACAGACUAACUUAAUUCCGAGGCACUAUAAAAUAAAAGAUCACUGGUAAUGUGACCAUUUAUUUACUUAACAGCCAAGCUGCUAUUAAACUAGAGCUGAGUCACCUGGGGUUAAAGCCUCACAGACAGAAAAGCAGGGAGGCAAGACACAGAGCAUAGGCCAGAGUGCAAUACAGAAGCCUUCAACAAAUAAGUCUAGCACACACAACCACUUUUUUU